rnacentral:rRNA from 1 species
UACGGGGGGGGCAAGCGUUGUUCGGAAUUACUGGGCGUAAAGGGCGCGUAGGCGGCUCGACAAGUCCCGCGUGAAAGCCCCCGGCUCAACUGGGGAACUGCGCGGGAAACUGUCGGACUUGAGUUCGGGAGAGGGAAGCGGAAUUCCGGGUGUAGCGGUGAAAUGCGCAGAUAUCAGGAGGAACACCGGUGGCGAAGGCGGUUCUCUGGGCCUUACCUGACGCUGAGGAGCGAAAGCAUGGGGAGCAAACAGG